AUGCUUCUCUCCGUGUGGAGUUGAAUGGCUCUGAAUACCAUGUCAAAUUGGGUGAACGAGGUUACCCAUCCAGGGUCCAUCCAGGGUCCUCGGGUACGUGUUAAAUAAGAUGGGAACAGCCCCCAUCGUGGCGUUUACAGAUGCAAUCGGUUACAACAGAUUGUGAAACCAUCUAGGAACCAAACUAAUCAACUUGUCCUACAAUCUAGGACUCCUAGCCCCUAUCACAAGAUAUCUCAACAACUCUAUACAAGAUGUACACGCUGUUUAACAGUCUGAAGCUAGAGUACAAAGGCACAAGCAAUCCAACGAAGGAGGACCAUCAAACAAAUUAUCACAAAGCAUAUUACCUUUUUGUUAGCAGCUCAGGAGGCAAGUGGAGGAAUCAGGAAUCAGGGGAAGGAGAAGCACAGCAGGGGAUUGGACCAGGGACGAGUUCUUAGUAUUAGGGACAAAUUGUUCAUUACAAUGUUCGGUGAUUCCUUCCACAAGUAGGUGCUAGCCUAUAUAGCAAGACACACACACGUCUUCGGAGCAGUGUCGACCACGCCAUCGUUGCUGGAUCACUUGGUGCUCCACUCGGGCCCGGAGUAGCGCGGGUUGCCGGUCCUGGACCUCUUUGGCCGGGCUUUGUGUAGCCCAUCAGAAGCCCGUGCAUCUGCUGUUGGGUUUUGGUUAGGUGUUGCUGAAGUCGAGCUUGACGCCUGAUCAUUGUGAGCUGGAGUGGCGCUGACAUUCUCCCUCCCUUCCGCGCCAUGUUGCUUCCACAAACUGGCGCGAGGAAAUUGCUGGUGUAGAUGCUCCAGAUCUUCCCAAGUGGCCAAAGAAACGGGCAUGUUAGACCACUGAAUAAGACCUUGCUGAAUGAACUUCUUACCACGUGCGACGUGACGACGCUGGAUGAUGCGCUCAGGAAUGCUCCAUUGGGCAGACGCUGGAGGAAGAGUUGCAGUAAUAGUAUGGCGAGCACCCACUGCCUUUUUCAGUUGCGAAACGUGAAAGACUGGAUGCACAGUGGAUGAAGGCGGAAGCUCAAGCCUGUAAGCGACGGAGCCAACACGUUCCAGCACCUUGUAAGGCCCAAAGAACUUGAAAGCCAGUUUCUGACUGCUUCUGUCAGCAACGGAUGUUUGCACAUAGGGCUGAAGCUUGAGAAAGACCAAAUCAUCAACUUGAAACUGGCGUUCAGAACGGUGACCAUCAGCAGAGUGCUUCAUACGCUGCUUGGCUCGGAGCAAAUGCUGGCGUAUAACUUCAGACAUCAACUCACGAUCAUGCAGCCAACUAGCAAUGUCCGUAACUGGUUGCUCAUUCGCUGGACUGAUGCCAAAAUGAGUUGGAGCAUAGCCAUAAAGUACCUCAAAAGGAGAUCGCCCCAAUGAGGAGUGCCAACUCGUAUUGUACCAGAACUCUGCUAAGUCCAGCCACUGAUGCCAUUGCUUAGGACAAGCAUGAACAAAGCAACGCAAGAAGGUCUCCAAACACUGAUUCACCCGCUCGGUCUGCCCAUCCGAUUGAGGGUGGUAGGCAGUGCUCAUGUGCAGUUCGACCUUGGCCAAUUUGAAUAACUCGGGCCACAGAGCACUGGUGAAAAUCUUAUCACGAUCAGAGACCAGAGCAGAUGGCAUGCCGUGGAGGCGAUAAACCUGAGAGAUGAAAAGCUUGGCAACAGUCGAAGCGGUGAAGGGAUGACGCAGACUCAGAAAAUGGGCAUACUUGCUGAAGAGAUCCACAAUCACCAGAAUGCAGUUGUAUCCUUCAGACAAGGGUAAUCCCUCCACGAAAUCCAGAGACAAACAAUACCUUCCAGGCACGUUCGGGUACAGGUAAGGGCUGGAGAAGUCCCGGAAGCUUGCUGCGGUCAGGUUUCGCCCGCUGGCAGAUUUGACAUUCAGAGACAAGUGUAUGGACUGCUGACUUCAACCCGGGCCAGUAAAAAUGUUGUUUAGCACGCCGGUAAGUGACUGGUACUCCACUGUGUCCCCCAACCGCACUGGCAUGCAUUGCUUGCAAUAAUUUCAGGCGUAAGGCAGCAUCAUUCCCAAUCCAUAAACGACCCUUGUAACGAAUAAGGCCACUCUGCAGAGUAUAAUUAGGUGUCGGCACAGAGGUAUCUGCUAGUUUGGUCAACAAUUCUUGAGCCAUAGGGUCAUUUUCAUAAGACUGCAGGACAUCAACCAACCAUUGAGGCUGAGAGAUAGAGAUUGCGGCACAUUGCACUGCUGGAGCUCUCGAUAAAGCAUCAGCUGCUCCAUUAUCCACGCCCUUCUUAUACACAAUACGAUAUUGCAGGCCAAGGAGGCGAGUAAAAACCUUUUGCUGCCAUGGAGUAUGAAGACGUUGUUCUUCCAAUUGCACGAGGCUCUUAUGAUCUGUCAGUAUCUGAAAUUCAGCGAGCUGUAAGUAACUAUGCCAUUGCUCGACGGCCAUUAGAAUCGCCAGAUACUCUUUUUCAUAGGUGGACAGACCCUGCAAGCGAGGACUCAGUGAUUUACUCAGGAAUGCCAGAGGAUGACCUUGCUGCAUCAAAACUGCGCCCACACCUGUUCCACUUGCGUCAGUCUCUAUGACAAAGGGCUUGGAAAAAUUUGGCAUGGCCAAAACUGGAGCUGAAGUCAGUGCUUGCUUGAGGGCCGAAAAUGAUUGCUCUUGAACCUCAGUCCACACAAACAAUGCCCCUUUUUUAAGAAGAUCGGUGAGAGGUCGGGAGAGCAUACCAAAAUGGCGCACGAAGCGACGGUAAUAGCCAGCCAAUCCUAAGAAACUCCGCAACUCCUUGACAGAUGUAGGAGUUGGCCACUGCAACACCGCUUGCACCUUCUCUGGAUCAGUGGCCACGCCUUGUUCAGAGAUAAUAUGUCCCAGAUAACGCAGCUGCCGCUGAGCGAAGACACACUUAGAUAGUUUAACUUGCCAUUUGUCCCGUUGCAGUAGCUGCAGCACUAGGCGUACAUGCUCAACAUGCUCUGCCAAAGUCCGACUGAAUAUCAAUAUAUCGUCAAAAAAUACUAGCACACACUUGCGCAGUAAUGGCCCCAAUGUAAUGUUCAUGGCCUUUAGGAAUGUAGCAGGCGCUCCAGUCAAACCAAAUGCCAUCACGCGGAAUUCGUACUGCCCGGUAUGAGUUUGGAACGCUGUUUUAGGCUCUUCUCCGGGCUUCAGACGAAUUUGGUGGUAGCCUGCGGUCAGGUCCAAACUUGAAAACCAGGACGCCCCGUGCAGCUCAUCUAAAAGCUCCUCUAUCAUCGGCACUGGAUACUUUGUCUUGACUGUGAUGGCGUUGAGAUGCCGAAAAUCCACGCAAAAGCGAUAUGUCCCAUCCUUCUUUUUGACCAGCAGGACUGAAGAUGAGAAAGGGCUUUGACUAGGUUGCACAAUGCCAGAGUUGAGCAUUUCAGAGAUUUGGCGCUCAAUCUCAUCCUUUAUAGCAGGUGGGUAACGAUAGGGACGAACGUUGACAGGAGUAGCACCCGGGAUUAGUGGAAUAUCAUGAGCAAAAGCACGCUCCGGAGGAUAACCUUGCGGUGGUUCGAACACAGACUGAAAUUCUUGCAAAAGCUGAGUUAUAGCUGGUGGUCGGUCAGAGGGAACCGAAGUGUUGCAUUCAUCCGAUACAGCAGACACUUGAAUGACGGAACCAGGAGGUAGGCUGUGUAGCUCUCCUUGCAAUGCUCGGGCAGCUCCUUCAUAUGGAAUGACCAACCAUUUGUGUGCCCAAUCCACCUGUAUCGGGCUAUACUGAGCCAGCCAGUCCAUACCCACCACCAUGUCAUAGUGUGCCAGAGGUAGUACUUUAGCAUCGGUACGAAAUGAGCACCCCUGUACUGCCCAUUCUAACUGCAGAAAGUUAUCCACACAAUCCAGAAUUUGACCAUCAGCAAUCUUGACACGGAGGGGAACCACUAGAGGAGUUUGGCCUGUCAACUUUGAGCUCAACGCAAGACUGACAAAUGUAUGGGAGCUGCCUGAAUCCAACAAAAUCUUAACUGGCAACCCUUGAAUUUCUCCCUGAAAUUCCAUGGUACUUGCUGUUGUAUUGCCAUUCAGAGCUGCUAGAGACACUGCCAAGAGAACCUGAGCUUCAGCUAAUUCUUCAUCAGGCUGACUGUCAUCAGAAUUGGCCUCAUUGUGACAAAUAUCCCAAAAUUCUUGUAGAACAUGUAACUGAAUGUUCUCAGAACAGCGGUGAUCCCGGGACCAUUUUUCACCACAAUGAAUACAGAGACCACGGGCACGGCGGUAUGAGCGCAAAGUGUUGAGCCGAUCUUCCACACCACGGCCACGACGCUCGGUCCCAGCAGCAGGUGCAGCCUUGUCAUUCUUGUCAGCAGUAACUGGUGUCUGUACCACAUUGUUUCGGGCACCUACAAACUUAUUGGGAGUGAAAGCUUCAGGACGCCGGCCCUCCUUGCGCCGAGUAGAAUCAAGCAGUUCUUCCUGCAGUAAUGCCAGUACACAAGCUUCAUCAAAAGAACUGGGCCUCUGCAUAUGAACGGCACUGCGGAUGUCAUCACGAAGCCCAUCCAUAAACCGCAUGGCAAAGAAUACCGGAUCAAUGUUACAACUAUAGGCCAACAAUUGAUCCACCAACUCAGCAAAGUUAUCAAUAUACUCUUGCACAGAUGUUGACUGCCGGAUACGAAAGAGCUUCCGAAUUAAAGCUUCAUAUUGACUCUUGCCAAAGCGCUCCAACACCAACUUGCUGAAGUGCGUCCAUGAGAGACGACGCCCACGAUGAUCAAGAGACUGUACCCAUCUAGCCGCAGCACCCGAGAGGUUCAUGGUGGCAGCCUUGAUCCAGAGGUGAGGCUCCACUGAGUACAUGUCAAAAUAAUCUUCACAAUUGCUGAGCCAAAGCUUUGGGUUCUCUCCAGAAAACGUGGGGAAGUCGAAACUUGGGCAGCUUGCUGCUUGAAUACCGCUUGCCCAGUUGUGUAUGCCGAUCAAGCAUCCCCUCGACGACGUCACCAAACAAGGUUUCGUCAGUAAGCAACUCAGGAUUUGACAGAGAAUGAUGCAAACGAUGAAAUAGUUUGGAAACUGGAUGGAUUGUAGAAUCGAGCAUACCCUUGACCGGGAGUUGAGUCAAGGACUCGGACUCCCGGUGAUGUGUUGCGACGCUUGGCCCGACAUCAGGGCGAUGUCCAACGGAGGCUGUGGGCGCGGUCACCGCUGGUUGCGCCAAAAUCCCCGCUGGAAUAGCCGGAGCGGCGUUGAGCACCACUCGGCUGAUGGAUUUGCGCAACGCCGUCAUCUCUUCGCGCAUCUUCUCGAUCGCGUCGUCUUGCUUGUGCAGCGUGACGAUCUCGGCGCGCAGCUCUGCCACCGACACAUCCACCGUUGGACGCCAAUCGUCGAACACCUGGACUGCAUCCUCAACACGACCGAACCGAUCCGAGAUGGAUCGAUCCAUGGCGGAGAUGCGACUUGCCAGGGACGACUCGACGGCGCCAACACGGCUCUCGACGCUGUUCACCGCCGUCUUCACGGAUUUGAUCUCGUCGAGCAGGCGCUGGAAGUUGGGAUCCAUUGCCCCCAACUGCUUGCGAAAUCUCGUGAAGUGGUCGUGCUCAAUUUGGUGCGGCUCCAGGACGGACCACCGCGACGGAAGGGUGGGAACGGGUGGGGAGAAAAAAAAAUUGUGGAGAAUUGGAGAGGUAGGCUGAGGAAUCGUUGGCUCUGGUACCAAAUUUGUUAGCAGCUCAGGAGGCAAGUGGAGGAAUCAGGAAUCAGGGGAAGGAGAAGCACAGCAGGGGAUUGGACCAGGGACGCGUUCUUAGUAUUAAGGACAAAUUGUUCAUUACAAUGUUCGGUGAUUCCUUCCACAAGUAGGUGCUAGCCUAUAUAGCAAGACACACACACGUCUUCGGAGCAGUGUCGACCACGCCAUCGUUGCUGGAUCACUUGGUGCUCCACUCGGGCCCGGAGUAGCGCGGGUUGCCGGUCCUGGACCUCUUUGGCCGGGCUUUGUGUAGCCCAUCAGAAGCCCGUGCAUCUGCUGUUGGGUUUUGGUUAGGUGUUGCUGAAGUCGAGCUUGACGCCUGAUCAUUGUGAGCUGGAGUGGCGCUGACACUUUUCUAGUUUAUUGCAAGUACUUUACUGUUCUUCCCAACUCUCUUGUACCCGGAUUGCUGUCUCUAGCUCCUUCUAGAGCCUUCUAGAUACUGUUGUUGUGAGAUUUAAUUGCCCAGGAUUGGGGUUGCUAACA
rnacentral:lncRNA from 1 species